GCAUAUCAAUAAGCGGAGGAAAAGAAACCAACAGGGAUUGCCCUAGUAACGGCGAGUGAAGCGGCAACAGCUCAAAUUUGAAAUCUGGCGCAAGCCCGAGUUGUAAUUUGUAGAGGAUGCUUCUGGGUAGCGGCCGGUCUAAGUUCCUUGGAACAGGACGUCAUAGAGGGUGAGAAUCCCGUAUGUGACUGGCUUGCACCCUCCACGUAGCUCCUUCGACGAGUCGAGUUGUUUGGGAAUGCAGCUCUAAAUGGGAGGUAAAUUUCUUCUAAAGCUAAAUACCGGCCAGAGACCGAUAGCGCACAAGUAGAGUGAUCGAAAGAUGAAAAGCACUUUGGAAAGAGAGUUAAAAAGCACGUGAAAUUGUUGAAAGGGAAGCGCCCGCAACCAGACUUUGCGGCAGUGUUCGGCCGGUCUUCUGACCGGUUUACUCGCUGUCGUGAGGCCAUCAUCGUCUGGGACCGCUGGAUAAGACCUUAGGAAUGUAGCUCCCCUCGGGGAGUGUUAUAGCCUCUGGUGAUGCAGCGCGUCUCGGGCGAGGUCCGCGCUUCGGCAAGGAUGAUGGCGUAAUGGUUGUCGGCGGCCCGUCUUGAAACACGGACCAAGGAGUCUAACAUCUAUGCGAGUGUUCGGGUGUCAAACCCCUACGCGUAAUGAAAGUGAACGGAGGUGGGAACUUUUUGUGCACCAUCGACCGAUCCUGAUGUCCUCGGAUGGAUUUGAGUAAGAGCAUAGCUGUUGGGACCCGAAAGAUGGUGAACUAUGCCUGAAUAGGGUGAAGCCAGAGGAAACUCUGGUGGAGGCUCGCAGCGGUUCUGACGUGCAAAUCGAUCGUCAAAUUUGGGUAUAGGGGCGAAAGACUAAUCGAACCAUCUAGUAGCUGGUUCCUGCCGA
rnacentral:rRNA from 1 species